GACGAACGCUGGCGGCGUGCUUAACACAUGCAAGUCGAACGGUAAGGCCCUUCGGGGUACACGAGUGGCGAACGGGUGAGUAACACGUGGGUGAUCUGCCCUGCACUUCGGGAUAAGCCUGGGAAACUGGGUCUAAUACCGGAUAGGACCACUGCCUGCAGGGGUGGUAGGGGAAAGCUUUUGCGGUGUGGGAUGGGCCCGCGGCCUAUCAGCUUGUUGGUGGGGUGAUGGCCUACCAAGGCGACGACGGGUAGCCGGCCUGAGAGGGUGACCGGCCACACUGGGACUGAGAUACGGCCCAGACUCCUACGGGAGGCAGCAGUGGGGAAUAUUGCACAAUGGGCGCAAGCCUGAUGCAGCGACGCCGCGUGAGGGAUGACGGCCUUCGGGUUGUAAACCUCUUUCAGCACCGACGAAGCGCAAGUGACGGUAGGUGCAGAAGAAGGACCGGCCAACUACGUGCCAGCAGCCGCCGCUG
rnacentral:rRNA from 1 species